GUGAAAUUGACCUUCAACCAUUCAAAUUUACAAGAACACAAAGAAAUUAGCAAAAAGGUUAAAUUCAGGGACGAAAUAAGAGCUGUCGAUACGAAGCUUAAACAAAGGAUAAAAGCUUCGUCCUUAAUGAUUUUUUUGGCCGGUAGACAAUCGAAACAGGAUGCAAACAGAAAAACCAUUACAGUCUUUCUACCGAUAAGCGGGUACUCGCUUGAAGACACAUCAUAGUAUCUAGGGUGGAUUUCAAACGAAUUGAGUUGGGCUAAGAACGUACAAUAACAAAAAAUGUUAAGAAACACACUGGCCGAAUUAAUAUCUAAAAUAUUUAAAAUGGCAAAAAUAUUUACGGUCUUCGGCACAGGAGUUUAUUAUUGCUAUCGUAUUAAAUAGUUAUAUAUAGUGGGCCGUUUGGUAAUAUACACAAGAGAUAGCCAAACAGUCAGCUGAAAAGGUCAAGUUCAUGUCUCUUGAAUACAUUUUUUACCGAAUAACUCUUGUCUCUUCCAUGAAAUACGGGGUUUUUCAUGCAAUGAGCCAUAGUUUGUGUCCGCAAAUUGCUAGCCGACUCUUCCUCUCAUGAAUGAGAGAGUAAUCCCCUUUCGGAGAUUGUAGAUAAAAGAAGAUUGACAUUAAACCUUAAAAAGGGACAUGGAUGUGGAUUUCAAAUUCGACGGGUGUGACGGAAAAAUAGACGACAUGGAAUAUUUUGAGAAAAGGAUAAAGGAUAAUGUGGCAAAAGAUAUUUUAGCUGUAGAAAAAAAAGAUACUUUUUCCAUUAUUGACCAUACUGCUCUAUAUCCUGUUCUGAAGGGAAACGGCUGUUCUCAACAUGAUAGGCCAAAUUUACCAAGGCCUUUUUCCCUGCUUUAGAUCGAGGGCUAAACUGCCUUCUAUUGAAAACUCGCGAGGCAUAAAAUUCUCACUUAUUACUACUCGGCCGACAACUUCUUGCCUAGGAAUAGGACUUCAGCACCGCAAUUAUGCUCUUAUAAGAUACACUGACGUGGCUGUGAAACCAGCUUAUGAUAAAGAGCCGGUACAUACAAUUAUUGCAUCUUUGCGACAGUCAAUGGAAAAUAAAGGGAAGUCCUAUUGUAGGGAACUUCGUAAAAGAGGACUGUAAGUCGGCUGUCAUUUUGCUGCUAUGGAGGGCAUUGGGAUACGUGUGUUAAAAACUAAGUAAGCUUUUGUCGAUGGCAGUUAUGGUAACCAGUCAAUUUGAGCAUAGAAUACCUGCCGUUUUAAAUCGUGGAAGGAACAAACCAUAUUUGUUGGAAGUUCGUUCCAGUCAGAUUUGGAGUAUUAUGAAUGCUUAUAAUUCUCGGUUUUUAGGUCGACGGUAUUUGAUGAAAAUUAAGGACACAGAUGAAGUUUAUGAAGUAUUUCCUCAGUACCUAGAUGUCGAGGUAUUUGGGUACUACCCUAAGGGGGUGACGUUUGCCCUUUGGCACCCAAGUAAGGCGACAGGACGCAUGUGCCGAGACAUAUCCACGACAAGUAUUUCCCCAACGAUGACGAUUGGCCAUCUCUGGAACAAAUCGCCAAAGCAAAGAAAGAGGGGACAUACGUGUACAGGAGAUACCUCAAGUCGGAUGAAGAUGGUGAUUUCGAUGAUGAAUAGGAGGAAUAGAGGAGGCGGCUUGAGGUUUGACAUUUUGGGGUACACGGUGGCAUCUGGGUGUCUAGUACGCAAGAUUAGUGAAUAUGUUUCGCGAUGUUUGUUUGGUGGCGCAUGUCAUUUUUUUUCUUGCGAGGAAGCGCAAAAAGAGAUUCAUGUAGUGUGUAUGUAAAAAUAAACUGUGUAUCAUCAGCGUUGGUCGUUGUACGA